UUGCAUAGCAAAACUCAUGUAGAUGCAAACAAAUAUUAUUUUUCUGAAGCAUAAAAAUUCGUAACAACUCCCAGGAAAUCUGGACUCCAACAACUAUUGCCACAAAAAACUGGAAAUCCACAUCCAGAUCAACUCAAUGGAAAGCAAUGCAGCUUAGAAUGCAAUCCAGUAUGUUAAAUCUUUCGGCCUCAAAAGCCAAGGUU